rnacentral:rRNA from 1 species
AGGGGUAAACCUGAGAAACCCGAAAGGUCGAAGGAAGAAAUUCAUUCGCGGUUUCGAUGCCGAAGUCGCGAGGUCGAGCGACGCGAGACGCGUUUACGCGCGUCGAGCGCGCCCUCUUCGCGUCGAAACGGCGACGAACGCGUGCACUUUUCUUCUGGUAGGACGUCGCGAUCCGUUGGGUGUCGGUCUACGGCGCGCGGUGGAGCCCGUGCGGUAGUUUUGCGCUACCGUCGGACCCGCGCGUAUUCCGGCCGGCUCGCUCGACGGUAUACGAAAGGUUAGGGGCCGCUCGUUUUACGGAGCGUUCGACUCUCGGCAAGCGCGUCAGUCGCGUCGGCAAUCGGACCCGGUGCCGAUUCCGACCGCUGGCGACUGUUGGCCGUUGAAGUUCUCGAACAGACCCCACGACCGAUCGGCGACGCUAUAGCUUUGGGUACUUUCAGGACCCGUCUUGAAACACGGACCAAGGAGUCUAGCAUGUGCGCGAGUCAUUGGGAAUCACUAAACCUAAAGGCGAAAUGAAAGUAAAGGUCUUCCUUGCGAAGACCGAGGGAAGACGGGCGGUUUGCCGUUAAAAGCGACCGUUCGGCAUUCCCGGGGCGUCUCGUUCUCAUCGCGAGAAGAGGCGCACCAAGAGCGUACACGCUGGGACCCGAAAGAUGGUGAACUAUGCCUGGUCAGGACGAAGUCAGGGGAAACCCUGAUGGAGGUCCGUAGCGAUUCU